rnacentral:lncRNA from 1 species
GUGUAAGAGAUAAAUUUGUCCUGGUAAAAUAUGUCUGGGCGGACACAUAUUAGUAGUAGAAAAAGUCCAUGGUUACAACAUUUACUAGUAUUUUUUGUCCGAUGUUAGUAAUUUAUGUCCUCAGACUAAUUUUCCUAGGAAUUCUAGUCUAUGUCAUUAAUAUUCCUAGGUAAAAACGUCCAUGUCCUCUUUAUAGGAAAAAUAUUAAUGAAUCAAAUCAUUUAAGUUUAAACAAUGGAAACUUCUGAGUUUUGUAUUUAUAUUUUUAAUAAAAU